CUCUGAAUGCUUUUUUUUAUAGGGGCAGUGAUUAAAGGGCUUUUUUUUUUCAUUAUUGUCAUCUUUUUAUUGCCCUUGAGGUGUUUACUAAAGUGCUUUUUCAAGAGUAUCAAGACACCUCUCCUCCCGAAACUGACCUCUCUCUUGGCAACUCUUCUGAACACUUUUUAUAUGGGGGCAGUGAUUAAAGGGCUUUUUUUUUCAUUAUUGUCAUCUUUUUAUUGCCCUUGAGGUGUUUACUAAAGUGCUUUUUCAAGAGUAUCAAGACACCUCUCCUCCCGAAACUGACCUCUCUCUUGGCAACUCUUCUGAACACUUUUUAUAUGGGGGCAGUGAUUAGCAAGCUUUUUCUUCAUAUUAUUGUUUCUUUGCCCUUGAGCUGCUUCCUUUACCGUAAAAAAAUAAUGAUAAAAAAAUAAGUAAAAUAAAAAUAAGGAUCUGGCUGACAUAUAGUUGGCACAGCCCCAUAUUCUUCAACAUUUCAGGGCCUACACACACAUUUGGUAAGGCUUUCAUAGAGGCUGUUGAGUUAGUGUUAGUAUUUGCAAGAGUACCGUGAUGAGCCUAGUGAUAGGUCAACUAGGCUUUCAUAUACACCCUCAUUUGUUAAGGCUUUGGUAGAGGUUGAUGUGUUAGUGUUAGUAUUUCCAGGAGUAUUUUGAUGAGCCUAGUGAUAGUUUGAUUAGGCUUAAAUAUACACCCUCAUUUGGUAAGGUUUUGGUAGAGGUUGCAGGUAGUAUUUCCAUGGGUAGUUUUAUGAGCCUAGUGAUAGUUUGACAAGGCUUACAUAUACACCUUCAUUUGGUAAGGCUUUGGUAAAGGUUGUGGGUAGUAUUUUGAGCCUAGUGAUAAUUUGACAAGGCUUACAUAUACACCCUCAUUUGGUAAGGCUUUGGUAGAGGUUGUGGGUAGUAUUUCAAUGGGUAGUUUUACGAGUCUGGUGAUAGUUUGACAAGGCCUCUACACUAUGAAUGUAAAAAAAAAAUCACUCAUGAAAACCCUAAUAAUGUUCUUGUGGCCUUGAGAAAUAGCUGUUGUGAUGGCUGAAAGCAUAUGAGAGUACGGAGCACAAUCUCUUGGUCAAUUCUCGCGUAUAGGAAGUUAAAGAAAGCAAUUAUAAUACUUUCAUUGCUUCAGUAACGUGCCUUGGAAGGGAGAGCUUGUAACACGGGCGUCAGUCACUCGGUAAGCAUGACCCAUAAUGUUUUGUCACCGUAAGUUAAGCACAACCAAAAAGACUCACUCGGGGGUUAGUUUACUAUGCAAGCUUAACCCACAGAGAUGCUUCCCGGGACACUGGACUAAAGCACCGAUGGAAAGAGUUGAAGUAGGAAGAAAAAAUAAAACUAAGACAUUCAUAAAAAAAAAAAAACCUCUGAGGAAAAAAGACAAAAACAAAAUUCGUAAUAAAAUUAACAGCGAUUCACAAACAAAAGCACGACAAAAAUAGUUAUUGAGAAAGCAUAACAGACUUGCUAUGACAAAAACUACAACUACUGUACUACUGCUACUACUACUGUUACACACACACACACACACACACAACAUAGCACCUUUCCCAUAUAUCACAACUAGGUAAAUAGACACACACACACACACACACACACACACACACACACACACACACACACACACACACAC